rnacentral:rRNA from 1 species
ACUUUCAACAACGGAUCUCUUGGUUCUGGCAUCGAUGAAGAACGCAGCGAAAUGCGAUAAGUAAUGUGAAUUGCAGAAUUCAGUAAUCAUCGAAUCUUUGAACGCACAUUGCGCCCGCCAGUAUUCUGGCGGGCAUGCCUGUCCGAGCGUCAUUUCAACCC